UUUAAGAACUAAGGAUUCCAAAUUAGACAAUUCGUUCUGCCCAUCCCUUUCUCUCCAGUUUCCCUCUCUCUAUUGCUUUCCUUCUCUAUCGCCAUAAAUUUAUUCAUCUCUCAGAUCCUUUCGUUGCUAGCUGGAUUUCAGAAACGUAAUCGAGAAGCUGUCAUUCUGCAUUCUUCCUAUUUGAUGGUAAGUUGAGUUUGAACCAGUCCUUGCUGAUUCCGAUCCAAGUUAACACUGAUUUCUCUCGCAUUUUGGAUUCUGGACCGAGCUCUUGGUGGCUUAGAUACCAUCUAGGUCAGAUUUUAUAAUGAAUCGUUAAUGCGUUAAGUCCCCCCUCCCCCAUUGGAUUCUGAUUUGGUUUUGUUUUCUACUUCAUUUCCAGUUGUGGAUUACUAUAGCGAAUUGUUUAGGGUUUGUGAGAUGAUCAUGUUAAUGUAGAGGGUUGACAAGAGAGAGAGAGGGGGGUGGGAGUCAUUUGUCACUUCUUGAACGAGGUAGCAACACUUGCCAAUCGACGUCUGCUAAUGUUUUGAAUUCUUCUGUAAUUUUUCUAACACUCUUUAUAAACUUCCAUUUAUUGCCAAAUACUUGGGUUGUAGGCUUGCUACAUUUUUGGCACGUGGGGACUACAGUGUAAUUUAUCAAUUUUUUAAAUAUACAAAAAACUAAUGGUAUUUUUUUUCUGUUUUAUGUAAAACUAUCUAAAUACCAAUAGUCAAAAUUCUGCGAGAUUUCAGUACCAUAUUCUCUAGGCUGAGAUUGUUUUAGUUUUCUUUUAGUAGUUUAAAGUUGGAAGGAAAUGAAUUUUCUUAUAUUGAGAUUCUGCAUAUAUGCAGGGCGCAAAUUUAGAUUGCAUCAGUGGAUUGAAUCAUAUAUGGCUUCUGUCUAUCUUGUCCAUUAGAUUUGUGUUGCUGGAUUUAAAAUGAAUCUUAGUUUACAGCUGAGUUUAUAAUUUAUUGAGCUUGAGCCUUAUAAUCUAUUAAUGGAAUUUUCAUCUAAUAAAAAAAUGUUAAUAUACACUAAUAUAAAAUAUUAUAAUCUCACAAAAAAGAAAACAAUAUAUUCUAAAUAAAAAACAAAAGGUGACAUGAUAUUUUACCAUAUUUUUCUAAAAACAACUUUUGUUAAGUUUUGAUUAUGAUAACAAAAUAAAGUUAGGUGAAGAAUUAUCUCGAAAAAGGGAAAAAGAAAAGAACGUGAAGGGGAAGAGGACCAGAACUAAAGAAUCUGAAGGAUUUUGUUUCCUCUUUACAUAGUAUUUUUUAUUAUUUUUUGUUGUUGUUUGUUGUUGGUUUCUUUGUUCGAUCUCUCGUUUCUCUUCCUCUACCUCUGGAUGGGGGAAUUUUCUUUCGAGAAGUUCUUCUAGCGACAAUUCGAUUUUGUCUAGUUUCGGUUAGGUUUUGAUUGUAUUUUUUAUGAAUUUGAUUUUUUUAUUUUAAUUCAGUUUAAAAUCGAACUAAUUGAAUGUUGACUCACAGUCCAAUCGGUUAAUGGCGGGAAAACUUCCUCUCCUGCUAUCCGGACCGUGGGUUCCCUCCCUACCUUCGGGUGGUUGGUUUUGAGUUUUUCUUUUGUUUUUUCUUUCUUUGUAUUUUUUGGCAAAUUUAUGGUUAAUGGUUAGGGUUUUAUUAUUUUGCCAUGUUUUUCUUUGGUGCUUGGUCUUCUCCGAGCCAUGAUCUUUGUAUGCAAGCUGUUCUACCCUAGAUCAAUGAUUCUCCAUUGUUGAGGUCAAUCAAUUGUGUGGUAAUAGCUUCGAGAGCUUAGUCUCGAAAGGCACAAGUGAACAAAGAACAUAUCCCCAUUGCCUUUGUCAACGGCUUUUUUGGUCUGCGGUGGAUACUCGAUCUUGAUGUUAGUGUGGUCUUCAAAUUUUUUACCUGUUUCUUGCAGUGCUUCUAGUGCGAUCAGAUGGCGUUACAAGCUGCCCUUGCUUUAAAUCUGGGUUACUUUGAUUAUUCAUGUGCCCUUUUCAUCUCCUUGUGCUUUAGUUAGUUUUUUCUUUAUGGCUUUUUGCUACUGUUGAAGGAUAUUCUACCGAUAAUUCCGUUGUUUUCUUUGGUGGUGGUGAUCCACAGAUCUAGGGUAGAUAGUUUUGUGCUGGUUAGAUAGCGGGUCAGAGUUGUCCCUUGAGUUUUGAUCUUGGGUUGGCUUUUGUAUUGCUUAUGAACCCUUAAAAGCUUUCUAUAUUUAUAUGUUGUAGGCUUUGUGCCUUUUUUUCAUAUCAAUGAAAUGUUAACUUCCACA